rnacentral:lncRNA from 7 species
CCUUGCGCUUUGUUCAUGAAACUGUUCUUACAGGGAAAUGACCGGCCUCGGGGAUUGCUGUUCCAGAGUCAUCACACUGAGAUACAUGAGCGUAGAGCAAGGCUCCCUAUUUUAAACGAGAUUAGCUUGGAAGGUUUCUGUGUACUACAAGCCCUUGUGCCCUUUUGCUAAUGUAUGAAAGAACUAGGAGGAAAAAUAGCAUACGUAGUAAUGCUUCUGGAAAGACAUAGUUUUUAUCAAGACUCUCUCCUGAGUUAAGUGGCUCUUUUUUUUUGACAGCAGUCACACUGCUGUUCUCUGAAGGGCAAGAAGCUGAAUUUUCAGGGAGCCAAUUAGGAAAUGCUUCAGAAAGAAGCCCAGUGACAGCAUCAGUCUGAGAGAUUAACUACAGUAAAGAUCCUCAAAGCCCUGGCCGCCAAACAGAAAGGCAACAGUAGCCCUCCGCACUGCAAUGAAGAUGACUACUACAAUGAAGCUGAAUGCUAAAAAGAGUGGAACAAUUUUUAUUAAAAGAGCAAUUCAGCCCUUUUUUGUGCUGCUUAGGCGAUAUAGUACGAGAGAAGGUUACAGAGAUGAAGACUACAAAGGCACAAGUGAUAAAUCCUUAAGAUGGAGACAUUAAGCAAGUUCACAUUGCCUGCUCCUGCACCAGCUGAAGCCCUGGGAAGUGGGAAGUGAAAAUUAUUUUUGGACUAUGUUGUUUGCUCCUCACACAGAGAUAUUGCAACAGAAAAAACAGUCAACAGAAAAACAAACAAACAAACAAACAACAACAAAAAAGACCUGACAAAAGCAGGAUGAGAAAUGGAACAGAAGGGACAGAGGGGAAAACACAUUCAGAAUGGGGGGGAAAAUCAAGGGGAAGAUACAGAGCAAAAAUCUGUUGAACGAGAAGUGCAUUAAAGAUGCUGCUGCUUGGUAGCUGUGUGUAUGCAGAGCUUAGCAGUAAUAGAGGGCACAGACUUCCAUUUCAAGACUGACACGGCACUCAGAAGUCUUUCCAUUAACUUCAAUGAGCUUUGGAUUAAGCACUUAGGGCUAAAAAAGGUUAUGCUUAAACCAAAUCCCUUCCCCCCCCCAAGAAAGGAGCUUAAAUUAUGCAAAAAGUUGUAGUAAACUCAGAAAACUCAGAGAGCUCACAAGCCCUCUGAAUCCCCCAUAUUUACACUGCUUUCUUUAGACCUUGUGAUUGGAAAGGGAGAAAAGUAGCUUAUCUGUGAAUUUAAAUGAGCUCAGCAAUGGCUGGGGCUACAGAACGUCACACAAGAUGUAUUACAAACAAGCUGGCAAAGCAGUUUAUUACACCAAAAGCGUGCAGAGGAUUAAAGAAAUACAAGGGAAACCCUGAUUGCUAUUGUGCUUUGGGAUUAAUAGAGUUCAAAAUAAAGCCACUGUUUUUGCAUAGCCUGACUCCUGUGCUUGAACAUUUGAAAUACAUUGUAGUUAUAAUUUCUGCUGAAAACACAAAAAUUAACAAGUAAAACUUUGAAGACAACAAAAAUUUAAUAAACAAUUCUGUGAUAUUUUUUCCUU